rnacentral:misc_RNA from 1 species
GAUGAAGAACGUAGCGAAAUGCGAUAAGUAAUGUGAAUUGCAGAAUUCAGUGAAUCAUCGAAUCUUUGAACGCACAUUGCGCCCGCCAGUAUUCUGGCGGGCAUGCCUGUUCGAGCGUCAUUUCAACCAUCAAGCCCCCGGCUUGUGUUGGGGACCUGCGGCUGCCGCAGGCCCUGAAAUGCAGUGGCGGGCUCGCUGUCACUCCGAGCGUAGUAGUUACAUCUCGCUCUGGGCGUGCUGCGGGUUCCGGCCGUUAAAGGCCUUAUUUACCCAAGGUUGACCUCGGAUCAGGUAGGAAGACCCGCUGAACUUAAGCAUAUCAAUAAGCGGAGGA